AAAAGUAACCCACAUGUCACAACGCACAUAUUUAAACAGGAUAAGGCAGAUACAGUCAAGAGCUGACAGGAAGAGGAAGCAUUUUUACGUCCUGAAUUUCAGCAUGGACUUUGACUACAAAAAGAUUACAGAUGCUGAAUCUCGACAGAGAGAGUGAAUGAGGUCUCUUCCAGUCCAUCAACCAAGAACAAUGCCCCGUCCAUCUAUUGCUCCAGAGCAACCUGCAACAAAGAGACCUCCAGUUAAAACCUGGCGCACCAUAAAAGGUUGCCCGACGCCACAGCAAUUAAAUAACCAGGGCCAGCAGAAGGAAAAUGAGGUAACACUUUCAAGUAAUAGAUAUUAUGAUACAAGUACUGCCAAAAGGUUUGGAAAGACCCUAUUCUAAGAAAUAUAUCUUAAGAAAUAAACAUAUUUCAAUUACUGUAAAUAAUACAAUGUAAAAACUGCUUUAUCAGGUCUCUUAAAAAUGUACUUCCUAUGAUAACAUUUAAAAUGAACUAGUUUUAAGUUAUGUACGUAAUAUGACUGAAUCAAUCUGAAUAUAGAUUACAUCAAUGAAAGCAAUUUAGACAUUCUUUAAGGAACUACUGCACAUUUGCAAACCGUGAGACCUCAAAUAUAUUAUUCAUCUGUAAAGAUGUUCAUAUAGUUAAGAAAAUACAUACAAUUCCCAAAUAAUUUUAGCUAUUUUGGUAAAAUUGCUUAUCUCAUUUUAAAAAGGAUGCACACUGAAUAUAAAAAAAAGUCCUAAUGUCCUUAAAGACAAAAUAUGAAUACAUAUUUUACCUCAAUACAAAAUAAAACACUAUCUGCAGUUCUGCUAUUCAACAUUAUUUCUAAAAAGCCUUUUGAAGCAAAGCAAGAAGCAAGAAUGUCAGUACAGAAACGUCAAGGUCUACACUGACAAAACUUUCAAUUGAGUAAAGAAUGUGCAACGAGUAUUUUAUACAUAGAUUUAACCUUUGAUCAGGCAUCCACAUACACAUAAAUAGCCCCAAAUAAUAGCUGCUGAGUGUAGCCGGUUAGACUUUAUAUGAUGUUUAACAUGUGUUGUGUGCUUGGGUAUUGUUGUGGACAUGAUCGCUUCUUUAACUACAAAGUGAGCCACCCAAAUUAACAUUUGCACAUCAGAACAAUGCACACAUGUUACAUGGGCUUUUGAAGCUUGUAAAUGCCCCCACCAUUUACAUUUGAAAUAUUUUAUCUCAAAGCAUCCAUCUUUAGGUCUAUUUCUAUGUUUGCAAACAAUGCAAAAUGUUUUUUGCAUUAUAUAAGUUUAUAGCUGUAAGUAUGUGCAUUAUGAUGGUACAAUAUAUUAACAUAGGAUAAGUAUUGGCAUGAAAACAUUUGACGUCUUGAAUUUUUCUAAUGCAUUAAUUACAUACUGUAGAUUAAAUACAGAUUAUAUAGCAAAUACACUUUUGAAAUAUGUUUCACAUGUUUCAUCUAAAUGACAAAUUUGGAUAAUCUAUUUUUAAGAUGACAGUGAAGCGAAUGGCUCCUUUUCUUGUUUUGGGCUCUGAGGGGCUCCUGGACCCCCUGACUCCAUCUCUGCAUGCUAAUACUCUUCUGUGGUUUGAAAGAACAGAGCUGCCUCCACUGCAAACACCCAGACACCUUCUUCCCUGCUGGCUCCAUGGUUUUGCUACAUGCAGGUUACACCCACAACUAAAUGUUCUAUAAAACAUGACACAAAAACAGAUGCACUUGCAAGGCUGCACACAUACAGAUGUGAAAUAGUGUCAUGCAAGCAAGGCAUUCAUAAUAUUCUGUUCUUUCAAGUUCUUCCAAAUCCUGUCUUUCUGUCACCCUUUCUCAGGGAAGCAGAGCAGCUGCUGUAGGAUAAGCCACAAGGCUCUAUCCUGUUGAGGAUAAAGUAAAUCCAAGAUUGGCUUAGUGCUCUCUUACAGAAUCUGUGCCCAAAUUAUUUUUGGGGCCACUGCACCUAUUUGAACAUGUACAUGUGGAACAACUUACUUACACUAAAUAACAAAUACUCUCAAACUCCAGAGGAGAGGAUAGGUGUCAUCACUUCAUCAUUUAAGAGGAGAGUGGAGCAUCUAGUGGUGUGUAUCUCAUUGCUGGAGAAAACAGCCGCCAUCGAAGCCUGGUAGACUUAAUCAACUAUUAUACUCAUAAUACUGUGGGGCCCUUUAAUGAGGUGUUGACCUUGCCUUGUGUGCAGCAUAAUGGUGGCUAUGAAGAAAUUGAAAGGUUGGGAGUGAAGGACGGAAGCGGAAGGAAAUGGAAAAGAGAUAAAUCAAGAUGCACAAACCAGACAACCCAUGGCCAUGGGUCAGGCUGUUCUAGAUCCAUUAUCAUCAAACUCCUCCAGUCAGAUCACCUCUGCUAGAGAAGAGUGUGUGCAGUAUGAAGCAGUGAGACUUACUUAAAAAAAAAAAGAAGACUUACUCGCUGCCAGAGUGCAAGCAUGGACCUGAAACAGCACCUUCUAGCCUAGAAAAUGGCAAUUCUGAACAACCCAUCAAUCUGAGUUUAACAGGGGAUCAAGCUCCAACCACAGAUGUCCCAUAUGCCAGAGUCAACAAACCUCCCAGAGCUGUGUCAGAAAAUAUCCCCAACGUCAAUGACCAUUCUGACCUUCAGAUGGCAACAGCAUCAUCUACCCAUCCAAGUUUCCCAAGCUUUGACAUGAUGGCAGCAGAUCACAUAUAUUGGAAGCUGGAACCCAUGCACACUUAUGAGGAGACUCCACAUACACGCAGUCGUACUGAGGAUAUUGACUGUUAUGCCGCGGGUUGGAGAAGGCAGGCAGCAGGGGAUGCAGCAAAUCAACCAAAACAUCAUCUAUAAUCAGAGGUGAACAUCAGGGGUGCCCAAGAUGGCCAUUCUGAAUCAGCAAGACCCGGACCUAUCCUUCCUUUUAGACCACCUCCAAGAUCUGCACUUGGUCCCUUAAGACCAGAGAGUGCUGGGCAGAGUUUUGUCAUGUCCUCAUUGAUGGUUCAGCCGCAACACUCUGGUUUCCAGCAUUCAGAGCACUCACCUCUGCAGAUUUCCUCCAGAUCUAUUUACGAGCAGAUUCCAGCAAGACCAACCAGCUCUAGACCAAAUCAGCUCCCACCCAACCCAAAAUGCUGACCUCAAGAUUGUUUACACCUCUCAAUUCCCAUAACUACAGCAAUAAUGUGCAUAAGCAAUCAGCACCAAGAACUUGUAUGAUUGUAGGUUUGUAAAUAUUGAUCCCCACCAUGGAAUAGUCCUAGGCAUCAGCUUCAAGGGGUCAUCUAUUUAAAUAAAAUCUGAAAACAUAUGUUCUUGUAAAAUCCUUCACAGCAGAGACAUAAUUACACUGCAAAUCAAUGUUUGACAUUGCAAUGUUCUCACUAUUUUGAAUUUAGCCAAUCAAUGGCUUUUGUUUUUUGCUUUAUCACCCUACUGCCAUACUAGAUGUGUAGGACAUUCAUUCUUCUGCUGAACAUGAAGACUUUUAGAAGAAUAUCUCAGCUCUGUUGGUCCUUAAUGAAGUGAAUGCAAGUGAAUAAUGACCAUACCUUUGAAGCUAUAAAAAUCCCAUAAAGGCAGCAUAAAUGUAAUCCAUACAUCUCCAGUGGUUUAAUCCAUGUCUUCUGAAGCAAUAUGAUUGGUGUGGGUGAGAAAGUUCAAUAUUCAAGUCCUUUUUCACCAUAAAUAUCCACUUUCAGUGUGAAAUAUAUCCAAUAUUUCAACCUUGUUGCCAUGACGUCACAACGCCAGUAAAACCUGUAAGCAAUUUUAGCACACAAAAAUGUGUCUACACUUUGGAAAUGGUGUGUAUUUUAAUGUUUAUGGACUGGCCCCAUUCACUUCCAUUGUAAUGGCCUUACUGUAACUGUGACUUUUUGCUUAAGUCGAAAUUAUCUUCUGUAGUAAUCAACAUUAUGCUAUAAAAGUGGUAAAUUGAG